rnacentral:rRNA from 1 species
CCUACGGGAGGCAGCAGUGGGGAAUAUUGCACAAUGGGCGCAAGCCUGAUGCAGCGACGCCGCGUGAGCGAAGAAGUAUUUCGGUAUGUAAAGCUCUAUCAGCAGGGAAGAUAAUGACGGUACCUGACUAAGAAGCACCGGCUAAAUACGUGCCAGCAGCCGCGGUAAUA